ensembl:lncRNA
CACUGGUUGCCAUGGCAGCACAGCUGCAUCAGGAGGACUUAACGUUGACCAGGAGGCCGGGAGGAAGCGUCUCCUUCAGCUGUCGAGAAACUCGUCAGUGUAGUAGUAACUGGGUCUACUGGUACCAGAAGAAACAAGCAGGAACGUUCAGAGUGAUUCUUGACAUUGGCAAGACAAAUGGAGACAUAGAUAAACGUUACAAUCAUCCUCAGAAAGAUGAUUUCUCAGCUGCAAACAUACAAAACGGCUGUGAGUUACAGAUCAAACAGGUUAAAGUGGAUCACGCUGCCUCCUACUACUGCACCUGUUGGAAGUCUGGUUCCCACAGUGAGACAUGAUUCAUGAAGCCUGAACAAAAAGCAGCAGCUGAACAGACGUCAGACAGGAGGAGACAGUGAAACCUCAGCACAGCUUCACAGCUGAAGCCCUGAGUCUCAACAUGUCUCCACAUCCAGCUUCAGAGUUCUGACCCGAUGCAGGUCCAGUAGCUGCAUGGACUCGCUGCGUGGAGGUGAGGAGAGUCUGAUCUGGGACCUGCUGAUGGAGAAAGAGUCAGGUGGACGACAGCAGGUGGAGCAAAGUGAAGGAGACAACGUCAAAAUAAAAGCCUGGAACAAGGAAGUCAAACACAUGUUGGAAUGUUUACUUGUAAAACAGGAGAGCAUGAAUGAAUGAGGAAUCAUCAGUAAAACCUUCAGUCUGCAGUUAAUGAGACGAUCAGAGACAAACAUGGAGAUAAACAUCAACCAGGUUGAUGGUUUGGAGUCGUUCACCUCAGACACACGUUGAGCAGAGACGGGUUUUUGUUUCACUCUCCGUCACUGUGGGAGCAUAUGGGUACUAUAUCUUUGGUUCUGGAACUGAACUGGUCGUCACAGACGAGCCGGUGCUGAAGCCCGUGGUGAGCGUGUACCCAGCAGCGUCCAGAGGCCUGGAGGCGAGCGGCUCCCUGCUGUGCGUGGCCUCGCACAUGUUUCCUCCUCGAGUCCGCUUCUCCUGGAAGGUCCAGAAGGAGGACGGCUCCUGGGCCGAGCCGAGCCGACCCGAGGAAGAGCAGCUGGAGCUGGAGGAGUCGGGACGCAGCGCCUCCAUCCUGCUCCACGGGCCACAGAGCAGCACCGCUAAAUACCGCUGUGAGGUGCAGCACGAAGGGGGGGCGGCGGAGGCCCGCACGGCUCAAGGUACCCGAGCUGCGGACGCUCCGGCACCGAGCGGGCUCGGCCCGGCUCGGCUCGGCUCGGCCCGGCUCGGCGCUGACGCGUGUGCUUGUGUUGCAGAGGUUCCGGCUCCAGCGGCCUCGUGUCCUCCAGAGAGAGAAGCAGCAGCGCCGGCAGCUCUGCAGCCGACUGACGGUGAGAGCAGCUGCUGCGUCUCUGAGGAGCAGCAGAGCAGCGGACUGACGUCUGUGUCCACCUUCUGUUGCAGAGCUUCCCCUGGACCGGGACCGGGACCGGGACCGGGAGCAGAACCCAUUGGAGCAGCAGCGGGUCAAGCUGCUGUGCGUGUGCUCCACGGUGCUGAUAGUCAAGAGUCUGGUUUAUUGCUGUGGACUCUCUGUGCUGAGGAUCCUCAGGACCGAGCCUCACCUGCUCUGAGCUCCGUUCAGCACCUUUUUAUCGCUUUCACAUUUAUUAGUAUCAGUCCCAGAAUGUUUAGUUUGUUCAGUGACUGUGUUCCACAUCUCUUGUCUUUGUCUUUUCAAUUUAAAUAAAAGUCAGCGUUCCUGAAUAAUUCCUGAAUUAUUUCUCAUUAAUUCAACACAUUUUAAAAACAUAAUGGAAUAAAAAACGUUCCGACACAGAAACUCUGAUUUAG